UCAAACUUGGUCAUUUAGAGGAAGUAAAAGUCGUAACAAGGUUUCCGUAGGUGAACCUGCGGAAGGAUCAUUAACAAAUCCAGUGUUCUGUUGCUCAUGCACCCAAAUGCAUGCAUCAUCAGUCACACAUGUUCCGUGUGCACGUUCACUCUGCACAUGUGCUCACAUUUCUGCUUGAUUGUCUGAUUGACUGUUGAAUGAUACACGAUAAUGACUUUUAACAAUGGAUCUCUAGGCUCUUGCAUCGAUGAAGAACGCAGC
rnacentral:misc_RNA from 1 species